AGGUCAUAAGAAUGUCGCUGAACUUCUACUCAGUAAAGGAGCUAAUUAUGAAUUGAAAAAUUAUUCGAAUAAUACAGCCCUUCAUUUAGCUGCAAAGAAUGGUCACAAGAAUGUUGCUGAACUUCUCAUUAGUAAAGGAGCCAAUGUUAAUAGUGAAAAUGAUAUGAAAGGGACACCUCUUCAUUUGGCUGCUGAGAAUGGUCAUAGGAGUGUCGCUGAACUUCUCAUCCGUAAAGGAGCCAAUACUGUUAUUAAAAAUAAUGCGAAUCUUACACCUUUUCGAGUAGCCGUUAACAAUGGUCACAAUAAGGUCGUCAAACUUUUUAUCGGUAAAGGAAACAAAAUUAAUAUUGCAGAGCAAUUGGAAUAGAUUCAAUUGCCUACUAACAAUGGUGACGAAUAGCUGAAUAAUCGGAUGAUUUUUUUCGAUUCCCUUUUUCGAUUGUAGUGUAGAAUUUAUUUCAAAACAUUUUUUCGUCAAUCUAUGACCAUACCCACCAAUAUUGUUGCUUUGUUGGACCAUCGAUUAAUAUUCCGUCAAAAAACAGCUCAAGUUAUUUGUCUUUUUAAUUGCUUACAGUAUAGGUAUUGGUAUGCAGUAGAUUUUUUUCCAUUUUUUUCUACCUUAACGUGCAUACGUGCU